ensembl:snoRNA Gm25757 predicted gene, 25757
CCUGCUCUUGCAGGUGUGGCUGCUGUGUCACAUGGAUGUCAGUAGGUGGCAGAGGGGAGAGAGGCUAUGUCUAUGCUGAGUGUUCUGACCUACGGACAUCUGAAGGAUUAGCAGCCUAACAUU